GGGUUGUGAGGUUAAGCGACUAAGCGUACACGGUGGAUGCCCUGGCAGUCAGAGGCGAUGAAGGACGUGCUAAUCUGCGAUAAGCGUCGGUAAGGUGAUAUGAACCGUUAUAACCGGCGAUUUCCGAAUGGGGAAACCCAGUGUGAUUCGUCACACUAUCAUUAACUGAAUCCAUAGGUUAAUGAGGCGAACCGGGGGAACUGAAACAUCUAAGUACCCCGAGGAAAAGAAAUCAACCGAGAUUCCCCCAGUAGCGGCGAGCGAACGGGGAGCAGCCCAGAGCCUGAAUCAGUGUGUGUGUUAGUGGAAGCGUCUGGAAAGGCGCGCGAUACAGGGUGACAGCCCCGUACACAAAAAUGCACAUACUGUGAGCUCGAUGAGUAGGGCGGGACACGUGGUAUCCUGUCUGAAUAUGGGGGGACCAUCCUCCAAGGCUAAAUAC
rnacentral:rRNA from 2 species